GAACCAUCGACGGCCGAAGCUAGCGGGGCGGCGGCCAGCGCGUGUGAUAUAGAGACAAGUAUGGCGUCGCCGUCCGUCUGCCAGAGCGAGGAGCAGACGACACCGGGUGCAAUGGAUACGACGUCAGGGGCGCAAGGGGAUUCGUAGUUUUGUAAAUUACAUGUAGGGAACAUAUCUCAAUAAAACAUUACUCAUUCACAUGU
rnacentral:misc_RNA from 1 species